GACGAACGCUGGCGGCGUGCUUAACACAUGCAAGUCGAACGGAAAGGCCCUGCUUUUGUGGGGUGCUCGAGUGGCGAACGGGUGAGUAACACGUGAGUAACCUGCCCUUGACUUUGGGAUAACUUCAGGAAACUGGGGCUCAUACCGGAUAGGAGCUCCUGCUGCAUGGUGGUGGUUGGAAAGUUUCGGCGGUUGGGGAUGGACUCGCGGCUUAUCAGCUUGUUGGUGUGGUAGUGGCUUACCAAGGCUUUGACGGGUAGCCGGCAUGAGAGGGUGACCGGCCACAUUGGGACUGAGAUACGGCCCAGAAUCCUACGGGAGGCAGCAGUGGGGAAUAUUGCACAAUGGGCGGAAGCCUGAUGCAGAAACGCCGCGUGCGGGAUGACGGCCUUCGGGUUGUAAACCGCUUUCGACUGUGACGAAGCGUGAGUGACGGUAAUGGGUAAAGAAGCACCGGCUAACUACGUG
rnacentral:rRNA from 1 species